GCCUGGAUAGCUCAGUUGGCAAGAACAUGGUGCUGAUAAUCCCAAGGUUGCAGGUUUGAUACCCAUUUGGGACA